rnacentral:lncRNA from 10 species
CAAACUCGGAUGUCAGCUUUAUCCUGUCUCCAGACUCCAGCGGAAACAUCUACUCUUUCUGGGCCUGGUGCCUGCUGGCCUUUGGAAUGGAACUACACCAUCAGCAAUCCUGGGUCAGCUCACUUCGACAGAUCUUGAGACUUGUCAGCUGCCAUAAUCAUGUGUUUGCAUGAGGGUGUCACCUGCAUGGGUAUGUGUGCUCAUAGACCAUGAGAGUAUUGAAAGGAACGCCUUAGAAAGAGACAGCAGCAUCGGCAAAGACCCAUCAUAAAGGAGAGGAUGCAGAUUCUGCACAUGUGUCCCA